rnacentral:misc_RNA from 1 species
AAAGAGAAUUGGUAUGUACAUUAAAGAAAAUGAUCUCCAAUUUUCUUAAAAAAAUAUAUGAAAAAUAAAAAAUGGAUGCAGAAGACAGACUCGAUUUGUACAAAAUGAAAAAUACUCAAACAUCCAAUUUAUUCAUCGACUGAUGAUGGUGAUGGUAAUGGUGAUGAUGAGGGUGCCGCCGAUGCCUUGCAAAUGGGGCACCAGUUCUUCAGCCUCAACCAUUGAUGUAUGCAGGCCACAUGAUAUCUCCUAUGCUCGCAUUGCAAUCUCCCCACUUCAUCUCCAACAGCAUAAUCUUCCUGGCAGAUACUGCAUUUGACAUCAGCCUUUUCACCACAAAGGUCCAUAGUAGCAUCCUCCAGAUAUGCCGACUGAUAGAUGCUAGUCUUAAGGCAUUCUGACAAUGCUUCCUCUGUUAGUGCUGUGCUCACAGAGCCCAUCCUUUCUUCCAGAGCUAAUAAUUCCUCAUAUGACAUAUUAUCAAUAUCCAAUCUCAUGUCUCUAUGCUGAUCAUAGAAAUUCAGCCCAUUAAGGAACAAAGUAGUCUCCAUAACAAGCAAUUGCUCAUAUGUCAGCUCUUCAUCUUGUUCAAUCCUUUCAAGUGCCAAUAACACCUCAGCAAUUCC